CCGGCACGGGUGAGUAACACGUAUCCAACCUGCCGUCUACUCUUGGCCAGCUUUCUGAAGGAAGAUUAAUCCAGGAUGGCAUCAUGAGUUCACAUGUCCGCAUGAUUAAAGGUAUUUUCCGGUAGACGAUGGGGAUGCGUUCCAUUAGAUAGUAGGCGGGGUAACGGCCCACCUAGUCAACGAUGGAUAGGGGUUCUGAGAGGAAGGUCCCCCACAUUGGAACUGAGACACGGUCCAA
rnacentral:rRNA from 1 species